rnacentral:tRNA from 1 species
AGGAUAAUAGUUAAUUAUAACAUUUAAUUUGCAUUUAAAAAGUAUUGUUCUUCAAUUUAUCUUA